rnacentral:snRNA from 1 species
CUUUUCAUAAUAACAGUUACUGC